rnacentral:rRNA from 1 species
GGUCCCAAGGGUAUGGCUGUUCGCCAUUUAAAGCGGUACGCGAGCUGGGUUCAGAACGUCGUGAGACAGUUCGGCCUCUAUCUGUCGCAGUUGUAGGAAAUUUGAGAAGACCUGUCCCUAGUACGAGAGGACCGGGAUGGACGAACCUCUAGUGAAUCUGUUGUCUUAUCAAAGGCAUGGCAGAGUAGCUAUGUUCGGAAUGGAUAACCGCUGAAAGCAUCUAAGCGGGAAACCAACUUCAAGAAAAAUUUCCCCAUUAACCUGCUUGUAGAUUACGAGCUUGAUAGGGCAUAAGUGUAAGCCUUGUGAAAGGUUUAGCUGAGUGCUACUAAUAGGUGAUUGAACUUAUUUUUA